UUUCCUUUUGUGUUCCGAGAAGGGGAAAAAAAGAGAGCGAGAGCAAACGAGAACUUUUGCCAAGCUCUCUCAACACCAGAAGAUUGCAUUUUUUGGGAGGGUGGAUAAAAAAAAGAGGAAGAGACGCUCAAGUUCUUAUCAAGGGGAAGAGCCGAGCUGGGUUUUUUUUUUUUUAUCAUCUUGUUAUUCCCACGCAGUAAGCAGAGAGGGCCGGUUCGUUUUUUUUUUAAAGGGACUGCGUCUCCUUUGCCUUUUCCCCACCAAAUCUAUCUAUAUAAAUACGAUGGUCUCUAUCAUCUCUGACCUGGACCCACUGAAAAGCUGGAAAGCGUUAAGGUAAGGUAGGCCGGUUUCUUUUUUCCUCUUGACAAACUCUUCGCGGCGUUUUUCCUCCCGGAGAGCAAGCCUGCCUUCGCGGAAGAUGCCCGGGGAACUUACUCUCGAGGAAACAGCUGCCUCGGAUCGGGCUGCGAACAGCUGCUGUUUUAGCAUUUGGGGGUGGGUGUGUGGAGAGGCGGAACUCUCGUCUGCGCUGCAACUUCGGAGUUGCAGCAGCCGCCGCCUGAAGUCGUUCUGGGAUUUCGGCAAGCAAGAGACUGCCACAGAGUUGUCUGGAACAUUACCAAGGUAAGCAAGCUGUUCUUCUCAACAAAAUCUGUGUAUUGGCUUUGGGGAGCUGUUGAAGGGAAGUGCAACCUCUCUAGCAGAAGCAUCCAAGACAGCCUGUCAGGGGCUUAAGGAAGAAGGAGACCAUUUGUAUAAGAAACAAUGGUUGCAAAAAUCUGUGUUUGAAAAAGAGUCGGAACGUUGGCUGUGCCAGAUAGAAGCAGCUGCAGAGUGGGUUCUUUGAAUAGUAUAUAGUUUGUAUGUGUGCAUGCGCGUGCAUGAUGGCUUCUCUUUAAUUGGCGGGAUAUAUUGCCUAAGGAAGAACACCAUGAAUGAGCUUCUGCCAGGUUUGAACUCAGAGGACUUAUUAGCAGCUUCCUUCUGCUUUUGGAUUCAUAUGUUAGCUUGCACACAAAGUUGGAUGGUUAAAACAGGAAGGCUCUAAAGAACUGUACAUGGAGAAUGUUCUCCCGGCCAGUGGUAUAGUCCUACCACCCUGGGUGGGUGUGGGUCGAGAUGUUGGCACUUCUCCUGAAGCAGGACCUUGUGGGAUCCCUUCCUAUUGGCUCGGUCAGCUCACACCUUCCAUCCCCUUCUCUCCGGCUAGCGGACAGCUCUUCAGGCUGGCUCCUACUUCAAAGCAACCCUCUGUUUAUGAUAGAUAGAUAGAUAGACAGAUAGAUAGAUAGAGAGAGAGA
rnacentral:lncRNA from 1 species